rnacentral:rRNA from 1 species
UACAGAGGGGGCAAGCGUUGUUCGGAAUUACUGGGCGUAAAGGGCGCGUAGGCGGCCCGCUAAGUCGAACGUGAAACGUCCCCGACGCUCAACUCGGGAACUGCGUCCGAAUACUGGUGGGCUUGAAUCCGGGAGAGGGAUGCGGAAUUCCAGGUGUAGCGGUGAAAUGCGUAGAUAUCUGGAGGAACACCGGUGGCGAAGGCGGCCCGCUGGGCAGGAAGACGGGGCAACCCGUCGGCUGACACUGAGGCGCGACAGCGUGGGGAGCAAACAGG